CCCCCUUCCCAUCCGCUGUGAAUGAGCUCGCCCGGCUUCGAGCACCGCUGGCCGUGCCUGCCCGCCACGCGCGUCUGGUGCGAGCGCGAGGCGUGGAGGGGGGGUGUCGUUCCUCCGCCUCUCGGAAGAGCGCAGGAGCGGUAUCUGCGCAGGGGAGCGCCGCGGGGGCCGCUGCCCCCCACCCGGGGGACUCGGAAUCGUCUCUACCAAGCGGAGCCUGUGUGGGAGCCGCCGGUGUCUGCCGGAGGAGCGCAGCGGGGAACACCGAGUCGCAUCGCUGGUGCUGGGUAACGAGCGGGGCGUGAGAGAGGGGGGGAAAAAAAAAAAAAAAAAAAAAAAGACAAAAAGGUGGGCUCGUCCGGGAUUUGAACCCGGGACCUCUCGCACCCUAAGCGAGAAUCAUACCCCUAGACCAACGAGCCGCCAUGAGGAGCACUUUCUCUCCCUUCCAGAGGAACGCUCGAGCGCUGCCGCCCGGUCCGGCCCCGCCGACCCGGCUCCGGCCCCUCCGGCGCCCGCCCGCAGCCGGGGGCGGUGCAGGCCUCGGGCUGCGCCGUCGCCUGGAGCCGACACGGGCUGCAGGUCGUUUGCCGGGCCCCGAACGCUCUCUUGUACGGCAGCCGUGCCACGCGAGCUCGUAAGAGGAGCCGAAAUGCGAAGCCCCGCGAAGACAGCGUUACAUAAACCUGAGGUGGCAAACGGGCUCCGUGUGACAGCCGAGCCUUUGCAGGCGGGUGCCGGCCUGGGACCUGACUCGUCGCAGCAGCCCGGCGGCCGCGGAGGCCGAGGUUCCCCCCCCCCCGCCGCACUCAGCCUGGGGGGCCGGGAGCCCUGCGGCUCACCUCAGCCCGCGUCUGCCCGGGCAGCGGCUGUGUGGCGGUACAUUGCAUCCGUAACAGGCUGCCCCGAGGGGUGGCUGUGCCCGCCGGGCACCCACCCCUCACGGCCGCCCGAACGCCUGCCCCGCCGGUGCCGCAGCCCACCGAGGAGCGGUCAGGCCUUGCGGGGACUGUGCUUCUGCAGCGGCCUUGUUGGGACAGCUCAAACCAAUCUCGGUCGCGCAGCCUGUCCCGCUUUUUUGCGGUGCUCCCUAUUACUGAUGAGGCACGCGCGCGCCGUUACUGCGCGUGCUGCUCUCCGGGUUUCUUCCAAGGGCUGUGGCAACCUUAUCUACCCUUGUGUGCAAAAUGUGCUUAAUAUCGGUCUAGCCAUUAACCGCAGCAGUCAAACCACAAACCCCAACCAAAAGAAAGGCUCACGGUUCAUUUCCAGAAUUUAAAACUCUACUACAGCCAAGCAGUGGUGACAUUACUUUCCUACUUUACAGGUGAUGAUUUUAUGCAGACCUGUUGAAAUAUCAGAGUCUUCUUACAAGAAACACUGAUGCUGGUCAGGCCAGUGCUACCCUGGUUCUUGUUUCCAUACAGUAAUAGUCGCUAAACUAAUUUUGCCUGUAUUCCAAGAAACCGUGGGGGAAGGUGGGAGGGAGAGACGGGAAAAAUAAUUGCUUUCAUUUUAUGGGCUUUUUAAUAUAUGAAGGUUAUCAAGAAUACUUGUGGCUCGAAUUGUUCCAUGGCAUCAGUUCGGCACCGGAAUAGCUCAUCAUUAGCAUCCUUUUGUAAGUUUUCCUCAGAACCCUUCUCCUUGUGUAGUGGGUGAUCCAAGACAUUCUUCUUAAUUGAAUUACAGAAAAAUAAUUAUCAAACUCUUCCAAGUACUGUAUGCAAUUACUGUGCUGCUACCAGCUCUGAGUUUUGAAAGAACCACUGCAUUUCUAUUUAACCAGAGUAAACAUAAAUGUAGCACUAUCUGCCAGUCACAAUUUCUCCCAGCUUGCAGGAAAAAGUUAUGUAAUAGACACUCAAUACUUUCUUUUACAAAUAGAGCUUGUUUUUUCUUUCUCUCUCAUGUUCUUCUCUUACUGAUUCAAAAUGAGCGUGCUGGGUGGGGUAUUUUUUUCAGGAAUGCAUAUCUCUGCACACUAAACAGUGUCUACUGUACAAUUCCUCUGGGAGGUACAGAGAUGCAGCCUAAACAGAACAAGCAAAACCAUUAAAAAUGUAAAAUAAGUUGGCACAUAUUUGCUUUUCCUCCUAGAAGAUGUUACCCUUAUUUUGUUUGACAUCAUAAUCCUGCUUGCUCUCUCUGGCAAGCUACUAGAGAGCUCUCCAAAACAGUAGGAUAAGAGAGGUCUGAAUGUCUAACAUAAACAGCAACCAUGAAAAAAUUUAUUUAACCUCCUCCCCAGUGACACACGCUUUUUUAGGUCUUCCUUUUGUGAUAAGCGGAAGCAAAAAAGACACAAAAGCAUUUUUCUUUCUCAUGUGGGACUGAAUGCUGAUUUUACUGCAUGUGUUAGAAACCAGUUAGGCAACUCGACAGCAGCCUGCUGGGAGGCUGCUGUGGUCUCUCUUGCCCCACUGUCUGAGCAGUCCUGCUCUGCCACUGCAGUUUGUCUGACCUUAUGGGGAAUGGGUGCAGUGUGAAGAAAAGUAACUCCCCACCUCUCCAUUUGCAGAGAGAAAAAAUGAGUAUGUUGCCAGCUGAGUGAGCUGAAUUACAAUAAGUUUGAUUAAUACCAGUAUUAUCACUAUAAAGACUGUAGAAUUGCAUAGCUAGAGGGAAGAACGACGGCAGCAGCAACGCCUUUAUUUGGGUUAGCUUAUCAGGGAGUUAUGUGCUGAGAUGAGUUAAGGAAUUGUGUAGCACCACUUAUAAGCUCUGCAUUUAACAGCUCACUUGGAGAAGUGUUCCCAGUUCUUUCUGUCAUAACCUUAAUAGUAACAUGUCAUAGCAUACAAAUGCAAUAUAUGUUCCCCAGGACAAAUUAAGUUGUUCAAGCACCCUGCUUCCUCGCUGGAAAUAGCACAAGACAAUAAUUUGAUCAUUACUGUCUGGAUAAAAAAUGGUCUACAGUAAGCAGACCAGAUACUCUCCCAAAUGUUCUCUGUAUUGAACAGCAGUACUACUACACAGCAAAUGGGGCAAUCAUAGGGCUAUACCUGUGACUACGUUACCUCAGCUCUGUCAGGGAAGGGAGAGGUUGUAGGAAUCCUCUGGCAAGGGGCAUGCAUGGCUGAAUCAGGCUUAUUAGUACAUAAAAAGAGAAUGUGUGAGCUCUGUGAAGGACAGUAAAUUUGAGAAUAAGAAGGAUUUUUUUUUUUUAAACUUCAGGUUGGCUGUCUUGAAAAAAAGCCUAGAAAGAUGAAGCUUGGCCUGUUGAGGGGAUUGAACAUUUUCAAACUGUGUGGUACUAAAGAACUUGAAGGUAAACAGUGAACUCUGGGUAUUGAGGUGCUUCCAUGUUGGUAGAGCACUUCCAGUCACUGAGGAGAGCUAUAAGCGGUGAGUGGAGUUUCCAGGGAAAGGAAGAGCUCUGAGGGAGUAUUGAGGCAAAAGGGCUUGGGAUGAAAGGCUUAUCACUGCGUAUCAGUUUCUGCUCCAUUUGGAAGGUGGCGAUAUUGAUCAGUUGGCUAAAGACUCACAAGGGAAGUCAGAGAGACUAAAUGACGUGGCAACCAAACAAGGUGGUAAUUCCCUGUGAUACAAAGAGUUGCCUGUGUUGAUUUUUGUUCCCAAUUGCUGCCCUGAAUUUCUGGUAGCCUGGGUUUCUAGGACACACGUACAACAGUUAGCUGAGGAAUAUGCUCCAGAGCUUCCCCCUAGGCCAUAAAUAAUGAAUGCAUAUGCCAUUACAUUUUAAAUGGCAUGAGAACCGUAACCUGGUGUCUUGCAUCAUAGCUGGAAAAAAACCAACCCUGCCUGUGUUUUUGCAGGGGCUUGCUUCGUCAUGGCCCUCCUCAACAUGGCACACAGUAGCAGGGCUUUCCUGUGGCCUUUUUCAUCUGCAGAUGUGAUUAGGUGGCCAGAGACUGACAGAGAAACUGGUGGCACAUGCUUCUGGGAGAGGACCAGCAUUCAUGGAGCACCAGGCAGGAGUGAACCGAGAACACUGCAGGCCUCUGAAGUAUCAUGGAUGCAGUGAGCAAUAACCUUGUGAUAUGACUAAGCUUGUGCAACUUCUUUAAAAUACAUAGCUUAGCAAAAGAAGAAACUCAUACAAAGAUUAUCCCAAAAGAGAGGAAGUGAAACAAAGAGAUAAAGAAGGGAUGGUGCAAGCCUGGUCUCAGGGUGUCCAUAACAGCAGGGAGCCCAGUCAAUAAGCUGGGGGAAAUUCCAAGCAGGUAUUUUCAGGUGAAAGGCAAAGGUGGUUAUGUGCUCAGCAUAGCGGGAGAGCUUCUGAAGGAGCCUGUACUUACAAGCAACACAUGCCAGAACAGGCUUUCCGAGUUCAUAGGGAAGAACAAGAAGGAUCUUGGUGAACGCAGGGGAACCCACCCUUGGCCAUGCUUGCAGCCUGCAGCAGCACUCCCGCCUCCCUGGCAGCUUGGGACAAGCGUUUGGGAUGCGCAUUGUGAUAUGCACCCGGAGGAACUUGCUUCCCAAUGCCUGCGCAGAGGCUGGAACACUAAAUGAGUAUUGCGGUCUGCUCCCGCUGUUGUUUCUCUUUGGAAAACUAGGCCUAGUAGUGCACAGCAAGAGAAUCACAUCGUUGAGGGUGUCUUGAGACACAGCGCUGUGCUGUGAUCAGACUGAAUUCUGCUGUGGUCCUCGCAGGCCGCAACAGCAACAGACCCACUGCUCUCACGUAGAUCUUGACUAACAAACGCGUAACUCCCUUUGCGUGGCUGUCAGUUAUUUCCAGGGUGUUCUAACGUCAGGUAGGAAGAUCGCUGGCCUCCCUCCGGAGGUGCUCAGGUAAGCUUUCCGCACAGAAGGUGAGCUCUCGGGCAGCACCAGAACCCGAGGCAAGGGCAUUUGGCGCUGGGCUGCCUUGGGCUCCCUCGCUGUGCCCGUACGGAGGCAGGGCAGCGGGGGCGCAGGGCAGCAAGGGCCCGGUACCGGAGAGGUGAAGACAGGCGGGCGGCAGCACGGGCCGGUCCUGCUGCCAGCAGAGGCCGAAGCAUCUGUCAGCGGUGAGACCCGACGUUCCCAGGCCUCCCCUCUGCCAGCACGGACGGGGAUGCUGCUGCUGCUGCUGCCGCCGCGCUCCUGUCCCCGGGUGCCCCGGACUUCACUGAACCGGGGGCAGCUCCGGCCGCCUGCCCCGCGGCGACACGCCCACAACAGCGGCCGCCGGGAGGGGUGCGGGGGGGGGGGGGGGGGGGGGGGGGGGGGGGGCACCUAGUAAUGUGCUCAGCUCGGGGGGCGGGUCAGUGCGUUUCCUGCCCGGAU
rnacentral:tRNA from 1 species